rnacentral:rRNA from 1 species
CUUACGACUCUCGACAAUGGAUAUCUCGGCUCUCGCAUCGAUGAAGAACGUAGCGAAAUGCGAUACUUAGUGUGAAUUGCAGAAUCCCGUGAAUCAUCGAGUCUUUGAACGCAAGUUGCGCCCGAAGCCUCGGCCAAGGGCACGUCUGCCUGGGCGUCGCA